GGUCAUGUGGCCUAGUGGUCAUGGUAUCUGCCCGGUAAGCGGAAGGUCGUGGGUUCGAUUUCCAUCCCUUGACACU
rnacentral:tRNA from 1 species